rnacentral:rRNA from 1 species
UACGGAGGGAGCUAGCGUUGUUCGGAAUUACUGGGCGUAAAGCGCACGUAGGCGGCUUUGUAAGUUAGAGGUGAAAGCCCGGGGCUCAACUCCGGAAUAGCCUUCAAGACUGCAUCGCUUGAAUCCGGGAGAGGUGAGUGGAAUUCCGAGUGUAGAGGUGAAAUUCGUAGAUAUUCGGAAGAACACCAGUGGCGAAGGCGGCUCACUGGACCGGUAUUGACGCUGAGGUGCGAAAGCGUGGGGAGCAAACAGG